rnacentral:misc_RNA from 1 species
GAAAUGCGAUAAGUAAUGUGAAUUGCAGAUUCCGUGAAUCAUUAAAUCUUUGAACGCACAUUGCGCCCUCUGGUAUUCCUAAGGGCAUGUCUGUUUGAGAAUCAGUUUAAACAUCAAAACCUGGCUUGGGCGUCAAACCCCAUUCUUUGUGUUUUGGACUUGAGUUGCAUUUGCGCAAGCAGAUCUACUUUAAUUGCAUUUGUGGCCUCAACCAUUACAACUCGAAAAUUGAAGGCAUGACCAUUGAACGCAAGUUCUCCAAUGAUUGCUGAUAAGAUUUCCUUGACCUGUGCUGAUUGAAGACCCAGAUAACCCCAUUACAAGGUGCUGGCUUAAACCCACGCUUUAAGACUUGAUCUCAAAUCAGAUAAGACUACCCGCUGAACUUAA